ACACCCAUUGUGACGGGGCAACGUGGGGUGCAAGUAAGAUCCAAGCCCUUGCUCUCCCAGGUCUGUGUCCUCCAGGAACCCACAGUACGGGGGGCAGGAUCCAGCCCGGGCUCUGGCUCUCCUCGGGCCGUGGCCACAGGCAAGCUCCCAAGCCUUUGGCACACGUGUGCGGGAAAAUUCUCCAGUUUUUUUGGCAAGGGCCGGCCUCACGUGGGACACACCCAGCGUCCCGGCUCGCUGCCGCCCCGGCACGGGCGCUGCUCCUCGGGGGCUGUGCGGGUGCUGCAGGGCCGGUGCCUGCGGCAGGGGCGCUGCCCAGGAGUGCUGCCUGGCUCCGGAGCGCCCGUGGGAUCUGACGUGCGGGAUAAUCUCAAAAGCCCUUCUCUGUGUGACUUGGCUUCGUGCCGCCGGUUUUGUCCCCGGUUAUUUCGGGAGCACGGCGGAGCGGCUCCCCGGCACACGGGUUUGUCCCCGGUUAUUUCGGGAGCACGGCGGAGCGGCUCCCCGGCACACGGGUUUGUCCCCGGUUAUUUCGGGAGCACGGCGGAGCGGCUCCCCGGCACACGUUCCUGGCCUCGGCCAUGCGGGGCUUUUGCCAGGAGCUGCCCCGGGAGGAGCCCUGGCACAGCAGCGGGAGAUGAGCCGUGUGGGUCAGGCCGAGGGUGUUCCCAUCCUGCAUCCCACCGUGGGCUGCACACCCCCCUUCCCGAGACCGCAUCCACCCGCCCGGGCUCCCGAGCUGGGCUGACUGGGAGCCGGCCGAGCAAACACAGCGGGCAGGCGAGACGGGAUCUGAAUAGUCGCUUAAGGAGAUAAAGCGCGGAUGAGAUGCCCAAGUAACGAGAUACCGGGAUAAUCCGUGCCUGAGAAGUCCCAGCCUGCAAAGCUGCCCUUCCUCCGGAAGUCUGAGAAGUGCUGCGAGGCCUCCCAGGGAAAGGAGUCAGCGUGUGCUGGUGCCAGGAUGUGCCAGGGCUUCACACAGCUGGACGGAGCUCGAAGGGGGAUGCUUGGUCCUUUGUGGCUGUAAAGACGUCAGCAGGGAAGUUCUCCUGGGCUCCCACAGGGCAGGAUGAGGCCUGGCGUGGGAGGCAGUGAACCUGGGUGGGAAAGAAGGUGUUUUUUGGCAGAGUUUGAUGGCUGGGAGAAGGGAUCUCCUGGGCUCAGUGGGUUGGGAGCACAGUGUUACAGCAGGAGCGCAGCCCCUCAUGCCCACCCUGGAGCUGGGGUCUGGCUGGCAGCUUCCACCACUGAAGGCAUUUGAUUGUUUUAAUUGCGAUUAAUAUCUUGCCUUUUCCACAAAGCUUUUGCAAGAAAAGAGCUGGUUUCACAUCCUUGUUGGUAUUUUGUCUUUCCAAUCCCUGGACUGGGAAGAGGCAGUGGGGGGCCUUGGGGAGCUGGUCCAGGUGGUGGAGGGAAAGCAAGGGCAGACUUGCAGCAGGGCACAGGAUUUUUGGUUUUGAUGAGUGACUGUGAUUCACUGGAGCCUCGGCUGGGGGACAGUGUCACCUCUGCGACCUCGCUGUCCUUGCGGUGGCUGGGAGCAGGGUGUUGGCUGCAGCAAAACUGCUGGGAAAAACCCACACGGCUCAAGGCACCAAAGGCAUCACAGCAGGAAAAAAGCCUCGGGGAGGAAAUGGGUCACACUAAACACCCUUUCUGCUGGGGAAAACCUUAUUUGGAGUUCUCUGCAGCAGGCUGAAAUGAAAGGUUUCCCGACUGCUGCUAUGAUUUCUGUCUGCGGACUGGUCCAGACUCCAGUAUAACUCCAGCAGAACCAGCAGCAGGUUCAGCUGAUGCAUUCAUUAGAAGUUUAAAGGUUUCACAGUGCCCCAGGGGUUUGCCGCCUGGGCAGGAAGCCUGGGGGCGAGCACUGGGCCCAGAGGGAGGCUACUGGGGGGCUGCCAGCUGCAUCCCACAUUGCCAUUGCUGUGGGUACAAUUUCAUGUGGCUCGGCUCGUUUGUGUGGUGGGCUCUCCUUGUUUCUGCUCCCCCGUGGCUUGGUCUGUCCCCUCAGAGCAGAGCACCUGACAUGCAGGGAGGUGGCAGGAGCCCAGCCUUGCCCAGCACCCGUCCUGCCCCGUGGCUGGGGGUUUGCAGCAGAGGGCUGAUCCCCCCCUGCCGCCGGGCUGGGCCGUGCGGGGCAGGUCGCAGCUGCCCGGGAGCUGCCCUGUUGUUUGCUGCCAUAAUCUGUUUUGAAAAGGCAGCCCCUGAUGCUGGUUUUUUCCAAUUAGGCCCUGGGAGAUGACUCUGGUGAGGCAGCGGCCGGGCUAAUUUACCAGGCAGACAUUUCAUUGAAUUAUCCCGUGAGCUGCAGAGCAAAACCAGGAGAGCAGAGCCUGGGUUGGGGCAGGACUCGCGGCGGGGUUCGGCACGAUGCUCGCGGUGUAUACCCGUGCCCUGCCCCGGCCCAAAGCUGCUCCCGAGCUCUGGUGUGGGUGUUUGACCCCUGCCGGGUGGCAGGGAUGAGCUCGGGGCUGCUGGGACACCCGUAAGGACGGGAGUGUCUCAGCUGGGCUGGGAGUGCUGGUGGCUGGCAAAACCCUCGCCGUGGACUUGCAAACCGUGCAAAUCUGCUAUGGACGUCACUGAAGGAG
rnacentral:lncRNA from 13 species